GAAGACAUGACACUAAAUCUACGUGUUUUUUUCAAAUGCACAUCUUUGGGUUACCUGUUUUCCUUGGAUCAAAAUCACACUGGAUUACUGGACGAGAGAUUGGCAGCAUCCUUGGGAGGACAACGAAAAUCAAAUGUCUCAGGUGUGCGCAAUGACCCUGGCUGAUUGGCGAUGGUAGAAAAGGCCUGCCGUGCCAACUCUCGGGGCUGCUCCUCUCCUCCGCUGGCUUUAGGCUUUUAAGUAUAAGUAUAUAUACUUUUUUGAUCCUGUGAGG